AAAUAAGGGAGUAAAAGCAGGCCACCUGAACCCCAGCAACAGCUGCUGGGUCUCUUUCUGCUAUGUGGGUGCUUUGUCUUUGGCUCUUUGCAAUAAAUGUUGCUGCUGUUCACUCUUUAGGUUCACACUAACUCUGUGAGCUGUGACACUCACUGGGAAGGUCUGCAGUUUUGCUCCUGAAGCCCGUGAGACCACAAAAACCCACCGGAAGGAACGAACGGCUCUGGACCUUUAUGAGCUGUAACACUCACCAGGAAGGUUUGCAGCUUCGCUCUUGAAGCCAGCGAGACCACGAACCCGCUGGGAGAAAGGAAUAACUGCGGAUGUGCCACCUUUGUGAGCCUGAGCAGUAACCGGAAAGACCACGAACCCACCGGGAGGAACAACUCCGGACGUGCUGCCUUUGAGAGCUGUAACAUUCACUGCGAAGGUCUGCAGCUUCACUUCUGAAGUCAGCGAGACCACGAGACCACGAACCCACCAGAAGGCAGAAUCUCCGGACACAUCUGAACAUGUGAAGAGACAAACUCCGAACACACUAUCUUUAAGAACUUUAACACUCACCGCAGGGGUUCGCGGCUUCAUUCUUGAAAUCAGCCAGACCAAGAACCCAUGAUGUUAAUUGCAGGUGUCCUUCCUGGAGACCUGCUUCCUGCUCCAUCCACAGAGGUCGCUUUCCCACCUGCUGGGUGGAAAAUCCUGGAGGAAGAGCGAGGGCGAGAGAUGUGGCAAACGUUAACACACGAGGUUCCGUGCAUGUCUAGGAGCUACUUGAACUCACAGGAAUUAGCCAUAAUUUUUCAAACGACACAAACUGAAUGUGUUCCCUGAGACAGCCGCAGCAGCAGCCAGCUUUGCUGGAAGGAAUUGACUGGAGUGUUUUCUUCAUUCUGAAUCUGCUUUCCCUGCCUGUCCCCAGCAGAUGUGGGCCAGCCUUAUGGAAAGACUCAUUCUAGAGAUGGAGUUUCACCGUGUUAGCCAGAAUGGUCUCAAUCUCCUGACCUCAUGAUCCACCCGCCUCAGCCUCCGGAAGUGCUGGGAUUACAGGCGUGAGCCACCGUGCCCGGCCAAUAGUGAACUGGGAGCUCACUUUAAGGGUAUCUGGAGGAAGCCUUGACUCAAAGAAGAAGGAGCUCUGACUGGCCCAGGCUCACAAGAAUGGAGGCAGCCCUGCUUGCUGGUCUUGGAUGAUAAUCUGGUGACUGGCUCCAGGUGGCCAAGCCUAUUUGAAUGUCUCUCUGCAGCUCAGACUCUUGAGCAGGGCCUCAUGCGGCUUUUGGAAGUACUAAUGGGAUAGCAGAUGUGGCUACAGGUAAUUAUAAUGCAGGCUCCAGCAAGGCCUCUCUGCCCCUCCAGCUGCAGUAAGUCCUGCCUCUUAGUUUCACUCACAUCACACCAGUGCAAAGUUCAGCCCCUUCACCAGUUUCCACCCUACAAAAUCAGAAACCCACUUGCACCAAGUGUGGCCUGAGAUUAGCCACUUUAGUGACUAGCAAGGGGUGAUAGAGUGAAAGCCACUCCCAUUACCUUCUCCUUCCCUGUCUCCUCCCCUCUUUCUCUCCGGAGUGACAGACGCCUCUCCUUGUCCUAUUCACUUCUGCAACAGUCUUUGGCACUCGGCCAUGACCUUGGGGCCUUACUCUUCUUCCCAAGGGAGGAUAUUAAACAAUUUCUUCCUCCAAAAUAUAGUAUUUUCUUCUGCAAGGGGGAGCCUGAGGAAUGACAUUUCUCCAUCUCAUUACAUAACUGCGCCUGGGAGAUUUAACAAGGGCAAAUAUUUUUUUGAAGCCCAGAGAUUUGAUAGAUUUUAUACAAAAACUGAGGGAGUGAGAGCAAAUCCAUCCACAAAAAGGUUGAGAAACAUGCGCUUGGGCUGCUAUUUAUUUAGAACUGCUGAUCAGGAGGUUACGGCUGUGAAGAGGUUUGUGCACAUGGCACUCUCUGUCAGAGUGCAUUUCGCUCAAGUUUCAUUGCAGUUUGGGAUAAACGCCUGAUUUCUUAAUAGGAAAUCCAAGGAUGCCAGAAUUUUCUCUCAUUUAAACACAGAGGUCAUUUACUCAUGGUUUCCUGUUUUGCCUUCAUUUUUGAUGAUCUAGACUUUGCCAAAGAAUUAGUUCUUAUGUCAAAAGUCCUUGCAGACUGUCAUUUAUCAUUGUCUUUUAAAUUCCAAGUUUUGAAGUGCUACUAGUCAGUGGUGGAACUGAGGCCACAUGGGAAGUAGUUUGUCAUUUCUGAGUUCCCAGUACUCUUGGUCAUUGGGGAUCAAUAAAUAUCUGUCCCAUCUCUCUUGCCCACCCCUAGCUUCCCUUCCCACCAAAUCCUGACCCCAAUCCUCUUUUCCUUCCAAACCAGUUAAAGACAAAGUAAAAUCUACCACAACAGAAACAAAGUUCACUUCUAACAUUCAAACUAUUUCACGGAUUUGGAGAUGAUGUGAAAAUGCAUUUGACUCAGGAGUUGAGCAGAAUGCUGAACUAUUUUAACAAAGUCGGGUGCAAUAGGUUCAUUGCUGAAAGAACCUUUCCAUCUCUGGAUGGAAGAAUUAUAACAUUAGCUCAUUUUGUUAAGUGAUUACAAUGCUUACAUGGAUAAUUUCAUUCAAUCCUCUAUGGUGGGAUUAUUCUUAUCCCCAUUUUACAGCUAAGGAAACAGGUUUGGAGAGAAUAGGCAACUUGCCUCAAGGUUGCUCAGCUAGUAUGACUUUAGGGUCAGAGUUUCUGCCCCAGGGGUCUGCUCUAGCACAUGCCCUUGACUGCUGAGCUGCGCUGAUGCUGGAGGUUGGUGUCCAAGGUACUGGCCUGUAGUAAAGAAAGUAUAGAGGAAGCUGUUUUUUCAGUGGGGAUCUCUGCAUUUAAAUUAUUUAACUGGAAGUAGCAGGAUUUUUUUUCUCUAUCUUCUGCCAAGCCUGAUAGGUGCUUGAAACUGCAUUCUCCAUCCAGCAGCCAGUCGGUUCUACCCCACACAUUCCUUUUCUAUCUCACGCCAUUUGCAGUUGCUGUGUCCUCUGCCAGAAAUGCUCUUCCCCCAGAGGUUUGCACAGCCUGCUCUGUCCAUUGUCAGCUCAAAUGUCUCCUUCACAUAGAGGCCUUUGCUGACAAUCUUUGGAUUGAUGAUCAUAUUUCCCUGUUUAUUUAUCUCAUAAGUAAUUGCCUUGUUUGUUUGAUUUUCAUUCAUUGUUCUCCCACCAACAGGAAGGCUUUUCCCAUUUCCACUGACACAUUUCAGUGUUUGGAGCAGCGACUAGUACCUACUAGAUGCUCAAUAAACAUUUGCUGAGUGAACAAAUGAAUGAAUGAAUGAAUGAGUGACCAUAACUUGCUGAUUAGCAGUUCUAAAUACAUUUGCAUAAAUAUUAAUUGUUGGCCAAACUGAAAGCUCUAGGAGUAUGGUAUAGUGCGUUUUCAAGAGGAAACCCCUCCAUGUAUUUCAGCUCAGUUAGGACACACGCAGGGCUUCAGAGAUUAAUGCAGGUCUUGGUCACAUGUGUAAGAAAUAGUCCUUCCCAAUGGGAGUGUAACUUUCGCAUUGAAAAAUGAAUCCUCUCUGAGUGCCAUGGCUUACUCCUGUAAUCCUAGCACUUUGGGAGGCCUCGGCAAGGGACUGCUUGAGCCCAGGAGUUCGAGAGCAGCCUGGGCAACGUGGCAAAACCCCUUCUCUGCAAAAAAUAUGAAACUUCACCAGGUGUAGUGAAGGUGUGGUGGUGCAUGUCUGUAGUCCCAGUUUCUCAGGAGGCUGAGGUAGGAGGAUCACUUGAGCCCAGAAGGUGGAGGUUGCAGUACCAGCCUGGGUGACAGAGUGAGACCCCCUCUCAC